CUUGGAUUUCCUACCUCCGAAGACGAAUGGAUGCCAGGCAAUACACUCAUUAUACUCCAUAGUUGGGUUGUAAAAUAAAGUUCUAACGUAUAUUUUAUUUAUUUACAUCUAUAUAUAUAUACACAAAUGCAGACGCCUUAGUUAGUAAUCAUUUUCGGGACAUUUAGGUCACUCAGUGUGGUGGGGGAUAACUGCCGCUACAUUACUUUCCCUUAAAAAUACUUCAUCUUAUCAUAAUGAAUUAAAGUAUAUUAACCUGCUUGGCUUUUCUGUUUGGAAUUGGUCUGGUAAUGAUAACUUUCAAGAAGAUGGUUAAGCUUACUAGUUAGGCUUGAGCUAACAAGUUAUCCGCCAUUUCACUGAGCAGAGCCCUAUUUAUACUCUUUUGAGAUCCCUGAAAGCCAAUCGAAAAUAAGGGAUCUAGCCAGGGAUCCCUGAGGGCCAAUGAGAACCCUGUCAGGACUGACAGGAAAAUUUCCGACAAAAUAGGGGCUUUACAGGAAAACCUGCACAUUAAGAAAUAAUAUACAAAAUGGACAUUAAAAUGCCUGUCCAUUAAUUAUCAAAGGGAUGGGACUUAGUUUUAACUUUUCCUUUAUUAAACUUUAUAGUUAGAAGCUUAAAUAUUUGUAACUAGACUUGUUUCCAAGUUCUAGCAGUGCGUAGUACUAGCAGACGCCGGGAGUACUUAUAUUAAAUUCCAGCGGUAAACUGGUCAACAAUAUAAUUCCUAUAAACUAUUCUUUUACAGGUAUAAACAUUGAAGCUUUAAUAAAAUUAUUAAUACAAUGCCUUAUUUCUUACUCUUAAAGACUACUUUUGAUAUUUAUGGUAUAACGAUACAACGACAAAAAUAUUUCCUACUGCGGUCACAUGAUCAGUAAAAUGGCUCUUCACAGAGAAACGAGAAACAUGGUUUUGACCGAUAUAAAAUCUUAAAUAUUUCCUUACUUAGACACUUUCAGGACUUAUAAUGGGUUGAAAUAUAAUUUCAGGUAUAUGAAUAUUUAUGCCAGACACCUUACGAUCUUUAAAAAAUAUGUUAUCAAGUAAAACGAGUUUGGUAAACAAGUGGAAGGGGGCACUUGCCAAACAAAAUGGAAAAAGUUAAAAGAUACAAAUGUUACAAUAUGUGCAGUUCAAAUGAAUGUUCAUAAAGUCAAUGAUAUUUUCUGUUGCAGGUUAUCACCAAAUAAAGUUUAUAUCCAUCUGUA